rnacentral:rRNA from 1 species
AUACGUAGGGGGCAAGCGUUGUUCGGAUUUACUGGGCGUAAAGAGAGUGUAGGUGGUUUAUUAAGUCGGAUGUGAAAUCCCGGGGCUCAACCUCGGAACUGCAUUCGAUACUGAUAGGCUAGAGUUUGGGAGGGGUAAGCGGAAUUCCGUGUGUAGCAGUGAAAUGCGUAGAUAUACGGAGGAACACCUGAGGCGAAGGCGGCUUACUGGACCAAUACUGACACUGAGACUCGAAAGCGUGGGUAGCAAACAGGAUUAGAAACCCUAGUAGUCCC